rnacentral:rRNA from 1 species
UACGAAGGGGGCAAGCGUUGUUCGGAAUUACUGGGCGUAAAGGGCGCGCAGGCGGUCCUUUAAGUCUGAUGUGAAAGCCCACGGCUCAACCGUGGAGGGUCAUUGGAAACUGGGGGACUUGAGUACAGAAGAGAAGAGUGGAAUUCCACGUGUAGCGGUGAAAUGCGUAGAGAUGUGGAGGAACACCAGUGGCGAAGGCGACUCUUUGGUCUGUAACUGACGCUGAGGCGCGAAAGCGUGGGGAGCAAACAGG